rnacentral:rRNA from 1 species
UACGGAGGAGGCAAGCGUUAUCCGGAAUUAUUGGGCGUAAAGCGUCCGCAGGUGGCACCUCAAGUCUGCUGUCAAAGACCGGGGCUUAACCCCAGAAAGGCAGUGGAAACUGAAGUGCUAGAGUGCAGUAGGGGUAGAGGGAAUUCCCGGUGUAGCGGUGAAAUGCGUAGAGAUCGGGAAGAACAUCGGUGGCGAAAGCGCUCUGCUGGACUGAAACUGACGCUCAGGGACGAAAGCUAGGGGAGCGAAUGGG